AACGAACGCUGGCGGCAGGCUUAACACAUGCAAGUCGAACGCCCCGCAAGGGGAGUGGCAGACGGGUGAGUAACGCGUGGGAACAUACCCUUUUCUACGGAAUAGCUCUGGGAAACUGGAAUUAAUACCGUAUACGCCCUACGGGGGAAAGAUUUAUCGGGGAAGGAUUGGCCCGCGUUGGAUUAGCUAGUUGGUGGGGUAAAGGCCUACCAAGGCGACGAUCCAUAGCUGGUCUGAGAGGAUGAUCAGCCACAUUGGGACUGAGACACGGCCCAAACUCCUACGGGAGGCAGCAGUGGGGAAUAUUGGACAAUAGGCGCAAGCCUGAUCCAGCCAUGCCGCGUGAGUGAUGAAGGCCUUAGGGUUGUAAAGCUCUUUCAACGAUGAAGAUAAUGACGGUAGUCGGAGAAGAAGCCCCGGCUAACUUCGUG
rnacentral:rRNA from 1 species